GGAAAGAGACCAACCUUUGCUGCCCCUGCCCUGCUGGGAGUGCUGACUGCUCUGAUUACACCGAACCAUCCCAUAUCCACUAAUCACCUGAGGUGCAAAGGGUGGGAGGCUACAAAAGGACCCUGCUGAACUGGUGUUAAUUUCAGCCUGUCUGGCAGUGUUCAGCCUGGCGUUCUGGUAACCGGGGAACUGCAAACGGUUCUCAGUGAGGCUCCCGUUGCUAGGCCCUGUGGAAACACAUCACUCGUCUCUUCCCCAAAGAGUUCACAAUCCGGACAGACAAAAAGUGGGAGAAAUAACUAAUAUCCUCACUUUACAGAUGUGCCAGUGCCCGUCGGUGACGGAAACUGAACCACCUUGCGAUGGCCCCUUUCCGGCGAAAGCGGGAGGGAAGCAUCCCAGCAGUGGUGAACAUAGGAACCAAGAGCGAGACCAGGACCCCAGAGAAUGGGAGUGUGGCAGAACUCCAGAAGUGGUGGUGGGAUUUCAAAGGAUGCUUUCUUGCCCCUUCUCAACAGAACAAGAGAACAAAGAACAGAACUCAACUCUAGCUGUCUACAAUGAAUUGAGGCCUUUCACAUCUAGCAGAUGUGUAAGCAAGGCUGAGAGAGUGAUGUUGCUGCGAGAUGAUGUGCUGCCUUGACAAUAACAAAAAGCCACUUCAAAGAAAGCCCUGAAGGUCAAAAAGCCAACGAAAGGAAAGGGGAGAGAACAAAACAGCAAGAGACAGGAAAAACCACAGUAAGGACCCAAUCCUGCAAACCUACAGCUUGCCAGAUGAACGCCCAUUGGUUUCAAUACGAGUUUCUUAUGAGGAAAGCUUGCAGGAUCUGUCUCCAAAUCACUAUCAAAACCAAUAAGAUAAACAAUAAUGAUUUGUACUUUUAGAACAUCUGCCACAUUAGGUCACCUCACAGCACUUCAUAAACACUGAUUAAGCUUCAGAAGCCCCUGUGGGAUGUAGGUAACUAUCACAGGAGUCAUUCUACAAAGCAGGAAACUUAGGCUUGAUCUACUCUAGAGAAGCAGCUUACGUCUCCACUACCUUUGUAUCUACCCUACAAUGAUGCUCCCGCCGAUGUAAAUCACCCACUACAUCGACUUAGUAAAUCCACUUCGGCAAGAGUUGCAGCGCUUAGGUUGAUGUAGGAAGGGCAACGCAGUGUCUGUGUAGACUCCGAGUUACUUACAUUGCCCGUUGGGUGUCAGCCCCAAUGAUGACAGCUGGAGCCCUGCUGCCACCUCCUGGUGAGGGAUUGCAGGCAGCGAGAAGGAGAGCCCAAGCCUGGCCACCGUCCGGCUUGGGCUCUCCUCCUCUUUCUCCCUCAAUCCCUCACCAGGAAGUGGUAGUGGGGCUCCGGACUGUCAGCCCCAGCGGUGGGACCCCGGGCUGUCAGUGCCCCACAGUGCCAGUUAAAUCAGUGGAAGUGUUCCUGGUGAGGACGGGCACCGCCGACAGGAGCUAGUGUGAACAUCAAAAACUGCAGUAAUUACUCAGUGGCUGUACAUCGACCUAAGUGAGGUCAACUUAAUUUUGUAGUGUAGAGAAGGCCUAAGAGUCACACACAGAGUUCACCUUUCCUGCUGUAACCAUUAGAAAGACCACUUGUGACCACUAACGAAGAACGUCUCUGUCCCAGUCCCAGAGAAAAAGGGAUUUUGGGACUCUGGCAACAGAGGACUGUUAUACCUAUUCUGUCAGCACUCACUUCUGAAGUUAAGGGACUAUGGUCAAUUCAGUAAAGGAGCUAAGGGGAUGACAAGCGUAAGAUGUUGUCCAUUCAAGACGAGAUCCAAAUGCUUAAGAAUCUGGCUUGUGGCAGCUUGUGAGAGCCUGUAGCUUGUCCAAGUACCACCCCCAGCCAAGUUUAUAAAAGAAACUGAACAGGGCAGUCUGCCCUCACGCAGUGCCCCCACCGCGAAUGGGGCCAGCAGCUGGGGAUACUCUGAUCUGGGGAAUGCAGUAAAUUGUGUCUAACUCCCAGGCACAUGGGUGCUUUUGAAAACCCCACUAGGUGUCUAUCUGCCUAUGCAGGGGCCUAAACACCUUUAAAAACCAGGACCUUUGUCUUCACUGCCUUAAGGUAUGUUCUUAUAGCGAGAAAGCGAACGUGCGUUAGUGCUCUCAAUGUAAAAUCCUACCGGAGGCUAGGCACUGUAGUUUUUACCACAAUGUAGCCAGUUAAGAUCAAACCUGGCAGGAGUAUAGUGUUGAACUUGCCUAGUUACAUCGUGCUAAAAAUAGCCGACGCCUAGUCUUCACUCAGUUUUACAAUGAGAACAUGCAUUCAGUAUCCCGUUGUAAAAACCCAUCUUUUUUGGCAGUGAAGACACAACGUCAGUUUAUCGUUGUUAUGCACCACAGACUUUUUUGCACUUUCUUAUCACCUUUCCCCAAGAAUCAUAAAGAACUUUGCAAACAUUAGGGACCAAAAUUUGCUCUCUGUUAAAUCAGUGUAACUCCAGAUUACCUCCACUAAUAAUUGAAUUGACUGCAGUGGAGUUACUCCAGAUUUACACCGAUGUAUCUGAGAAAAGAAUUUGACCUACACUAAUUGCAUGGGAAAGUCUCCGUGUAGCAAAACAAACAAACCAACCCGUACACAGUUGGUACCUGGAAAGUUAAGAAAAGAGGUAUAUUUGGCUGUAUGAGGUGUAGUGACUCCUUUCUGCAGUGCAUGCAACAGACUCGGCCAGUGGAUUCUGAAGGCAUUUACUGACAUUCUAUGUGGUUCUUCUUCCUUUCGACCACAUUCUCUCACAUUUUGCAAAAACAACCUAAGUUAAAAUCUUGUGCAAAAAACCCACAAGACCCUUGAAGCUCUUUAGUUUUUGGGGAACUCAAGGUAGGCUGCAGAUCUUGGGACAAAGUGCACGGAGCCACUAAAUCCAGUUGACAAGAUACUUCAUGCAAACAGUACCUGGCAGAUUGACACCUCACUCUGAUGUGCGCCAUUUUCAACUGCUUUCCUUUGCAUGUAAAAUUGGGCUUAGCAAUCAAUUAUAUUCCAUAUUAAAGGGAUUGCUGUUGGUGACACAGAGAAGGUGUCAUUAAAUUUCUCUCUGCUGUUCCUGGAUCCUAUCUUUUCUUUCCUUUAAGCACUCCUUUUCCUAAAGCACACGCAGAAUGGAUUCUGCACAAGUUCUUCCAAGGCAUCGCUUUACUCUCUGCUUGUUGCAUGUGAAAAGUGGCUUUACAUUUGACAAUAAAAAAAUAUUAUGGUGUUUUCUUGAUUUGUUCACUUGUCUCUCUCAUAGCUUGGGACAGGCAAGAAAUCCACAGCUGUUGCUCACCGUCAAUGAUGGAGGAAAAUAAGAAAGUUUGCAUGAAAUGUAUUAUAAUAUGGGAUCAAUGUCUGCUACAGCCUUACUAGGCAGGGAAAUAUACUUCCAAAUUAGAUAAUUGUGCAGUUUCAGGCUCCGAUCAGAAUUUGAUAAGCCAUGUGUAAUGUGCCCUAACCAGAGAUUCCUGAUGCUGUCCUUUCUGGAGUUCAUUGCUGAUAGUCUUCCAAGCCAGAAUAGAAUAAAAUAUACAUUCUUAUCCCUGACAGCUACUUAACUGUAAUUCUUACUGUAUCUUGACAGCUAUAGAUAAAGGCUUACGAGGGACACCUAGUGGCUGCAUUUGCUGUAG